rnacentral:rRNA from 1 species
CGAAGAACCUUACCAGGCCUUGACAUGCAGAGAACUUUCCAGAGAUGGAUUGGUGCCUUCGGGAACGUCUGACACAGGUGCUGCAUGGCUAUCGUCAGCUCGUGUCGUGAGAUGUUGGGUUAAGUCCGUAACGAGCGCAACCCUUGUCCUUAGUUACCAGCACGUUAUGGUGGGCACUCUAAGGAGACUGCCGGUGACAAACCGGAGGAAGGUGGGGAUGACGUCAAGUCAUCAUGGCCCUUACGGCCUGGGCUACACACGUGCUACAAUGGUCGGUACAAAGGGUUGCCAAGCCGCGAGGUGGAGCUAAUCCCAUAAAACCGAUCGUAGUCCGGAUCGCAGUCUGCAACUCGACUGCGUGAAGUCGGAAUCGCUAGUAAUCGUGAAUCAGAAUGUCACGGUGAAUACGUUCCCGGGCCUU